rnacentral:rRNA from 1 species
ACGCUCGACACCUACGGAAGGCAGCAGUGGGGAAUAUUGCACAAUGGGGGAAACCCUGAUGCAGCAACGCCGCGUGAAGGAAGAAGGUUUUCGGAUCGUAAACUUCUAUCAAUAGGGAAGAGAGAAUGACGGUACCUAAAUAAGAAGCCCCGGCUAACUACGUGCCAACAGCCGCGGUAAUCUGAGCGGGCUGGCAAGGC